UGUAGCCUGAUGGCGCAAUGAAGAUUAAUGACAGAAAAAAGAAUAUUUUCAAAUUAUCCCAAGGAGAAUAUGUUGCUGUGAAGAACAUUGAAAGUGCAUAUGCCCAAUGCUCACUCAUUACAUCAAUUUGGGUAUACGGCAACAGUUUUGGCGUUGCUGUCCCUGAAAAGCAAGCACUUGAGAAUUGGGCAGCAGUCAAUGAUCUAACUGGCAACUAUGUGGAACUCUGGAUCCCAAGUAGAGGAAGUAUAUUCUAGAGGAGCUCAACAACACUGGCCGACGACUUCAAAAUGAAGGGGAGGCUUAUGAAGUCAUUGUAAACAAUCAGAAACUCUAUAUAAACAAAGCAAAACAAGGUAGUUGAUUUGUUUAUAUAUGACUAUAUAUUCUAGUAAAUAUUGAAGACAUUGAGUUCAUCCCUGGGUUUUAUUUCACAUAUUGAAACUAUUCUAGUAAAACAAGGUAGCUUCCAAAAGGAUUCCAAGAUGACAUUGAGUUCAACCCUGAUGAGUUCCAAGAAACCUGAUUGUAUAUGAAGGUUGUUCAUAGUUGCUUAGG